GACGAACGCUGGCGGCGUGCCUAAUACAUGCAAGUCGAGCGCAGGAAGUCAUCCGAACCCUUCGGGGGGACGUUGACGGAAUGAGCGGCGGACGGGUGAGUAACACGUAAAGAACCUGCCCUCAGGUCUGGGAUAACCACGAGAAAUCGGGGCUAAUACCGGAUGGGUCAUCGGACCGCAUGGUCCGAGGAUGAAAGGCGCUCCGGCGUCGCCUGGGGAUGGCUUUGCGGUGCAUUAGCUAGUUGGUGGGGUAAUGGCCCACCAAGGCGACGAUGCAUAGCCGACCUGAGAGGGUGAUCGGCCACACUGGGACUGGGACACGGCCCAGACUCCUACGGGAGGCAGCAGUAGGGAAUCUUCCACAAUGGACGAAAGUCUGAUGGAGCAACGCCGCGUGAACGAUGAAGGCCCUCGGGUCGUAAAGUUCUGUUGUAAGGGAAGAACAAGUGCCGCAGGCAAUGGCGGCACCUUGACGGUACCUUGCGAGAAAGCCACGGCUAACUACGUG
rnacentral:rRNA from 1 species